AGCGAACGCUGGCGGCAGGCUUAACACAUGCAAGUCGAACGGGCAUCUUCGGAUGUCAGUGGCAGACGGGUGAGUAACACGUGGGAACGUACCCUUCGGUUCGGAUUAACUCAUGGAAACUUGAUCUAAUACCGGAUACGCCCUUUUGGGCACAGGUUUACUGCCGAAGGAUCGGCCCGCGUCUGAUUAGCUUGUUGGUGGGGUAACGGCCUACCAAGGCGACGAUCAGUAGCUGGUCUGAGAGGAUGAUCAGCCACACUGUGACUGAGACACGGCCCAGACUCUUACGGGAGGCAGGAGAGGGGAAUAUUGGAAAAUGGGCGCAAGCCUGAUCCAGCCAGGCCGGGUGAGUGAUGAAGGCCUUAGGGUUGUAAAGCUCUUUUGUCCGGGACGAUAAUGACGGUACCGGAAGAAUAAGCCCCGGCUAACUUCGUG
rnacentral:rRNA from 1 species